GGCGUGGGCGCGAGUGUGGCACUGUGGCUUGUGCUUUUGCUUGGCAGUUUGCGCCGCACUUCCCAGCUCUGCGUGAAUCUCUACAUUUCCGUCUCUCUCUAUAAAUAGCAUAUACACCAACUCACACUUCAGCUUUCAUUUGCAACCAAAGCCCAUCUUUCUCCACUUCAACUUCUUCAUCACCUACUCUUCUUCCUAUCACCACCACACACAGUAAUCCAUGGCCCCAGUAGCAGCAGCAGAGAUAAAGCCCAGAGAUGUUUGCAUUGUUGGUGUU
rnacentral:misc_RNA from 1 species